rnacentral:rRNA from 1 species
UACGUAGGUGGCGAGCGUUAUCCGGAUUUACUGGGUUUAAAGGGUGCGCAGGCGGGAGAUUAAGUCGGCGGUGAAAUUUUGCAGCUCAACUGUAAAAGUGCCUUCGAAACUGGUUUCCUUGAGUGUAGAUGAAGUAGGCGGAAUUUGUGGUGUAGCGGUGAAAUGCAUAGAUAUCACGAGGAACUCCGAUUGCGCAGGCAGCUUACUAAACUACUACUGACGCUCAGGCACGAAGGCGUGGGGAUCAAACAGGAUUAGAUACCCGCGUAGU